rnacentral:rRNA from 1 species
UACGUAGGGGGCAAGCGUUGUCCGGAUUUAUUGGGCGUAAAGAGCGUGUAGGCGGCCAGGUAGGUCUGCUGUGAAAACUCGAGGCUCAACCUCGAGACGUCGGCGGAAACCAUCUGGCUAGAGUCCGGAAGAGGAGAGUGGAAUUCCUGGUGUAGCGGUGAAAUGCGCAGAUAUCAGGAAGAACACCCGUGGCGAAGGCGGCUCUCUGGAACGGUACUGACGCUGAGACGCGAAAGCGUGGGGAGCGAACAGG